ACAGCAGCAGCCGCGGUAAUACGGAGGGGGCUAGCGUUGUUCGGAAUUACUGGGCGUAAAGCGUACGUAGGCGGCUUUGUAAGUUAGAGGUGAAAGCCUGGUGCUCAACACCAGAACUGCCUUUAAGACUGCAUCGCUUGAACGUCGGAGAGGUGAGUGGAAUUCCGAGUGUAGAGGUGAAAUUCGUAGAUAUUCGGAAGAACACCAGUGGCGAAGGCGGCUCACUGGACGACUGUUGACGCUGAGGUACGAAAGCGUGGGGAGCAAACAGGAUUAGAUACCCCCGAGUCCCUGUCUCUUAUACA
rnacentral:rRNA from 1 species